UGUGGCUUCUCUAAGUCCACUAUCCCUAUCAGAACAAGUAUUGUAUGAAGAUAUUGAUAAUAACUGACCAGCAAACGAGAAACUUGGUCAUGGAACACAGAACAAACAGAAGACAUGAAAAUGCAUAAAUCCUUUUGUGACCUGUCAGGGAAAAAAUUAAAAAUCUAAUUUUACAGCUCCUAAAUGUUUAUUGUAGAGCCCGGGUUAUACAGAAUCUAUUGCUGUUUCAUUUUCUUAGCAAGUGAGAAUCUAUGUCUGAAAGCAUUAACUGGCUUUGCUGAAAGAGAUAAGCUCUAUGGUUCAGAGAGAGGAGAGAAGACUUCUGGGGUAGUUUUGAUCCCAUCUACUUUGGAUCUAAAGAGAAAUCCCUCCCACCACUGCAGUACUCCUGCUCCCAUAGGCAAUACACAUCUCAAUUACAAGAGACCAACGUUUUCUAUACGUAUCAUUAGAUCAGGUAGUCUAUUUGAAAAAAAAAUCAAACUAAAAAUACUAAAAACUUAUAAUGUAAAUAACAAAAUGAGUUGUUUUUCUUGUGAUUAAAAUACAAAUUUUAUUUCUUUGUGCAUCCAUACAGGUCUUUAAUUGUUAGUUCGAUUUGACCCAUUUCUUUGGUCAAAGCAAAGUGAAAGGCUUCUUUUACAUGUGAGCCCCUGUUUAUUUAAUUUUUGAUCGUGUGGGACCAAUGGCCAGUAUAUCCCAGUAGAAACAAAUUUCCUAGCCCUUAUCUACCAUUACGUGUCCACCUUUCCGUGUCCAUCUUACAGUGACACCUACCUUGCAUCUGCCUGUCAUUCUGCAUGACUGCACUCCAAAAACCAUAACUGAUGAAGAGAACUGUCCUAUAUCAGUGUUUAUGAAAUGUAUUUAUAGCACACACAUACACACACACUUGUGCACAUAUGCCCACAGAUUUCUGUAUCAGCCCAGAAGUCAAAAUCAUGUAUGUCCAAUUUCUUUGCAAAGUCUCAGAGGUGAGACCUGUUGUUGGUAGCCUGGUAGGUUCAAUGUGCUGUCAAUGGUGUCCAGUAUGGAUCAAAAUCAUUCAGUCCACUCCUGUGUUCUUUCUCAUGUUCUUUCAUUUCCAUUUUUUCUCUUAUUUUAUAUAUGUCUGUGGAAAAGAGUACUGAUCAGAGAACUUUGACUCCUAUUGACUCUUUACAGAUGGGAUCAACAUAUUGUGAUUUGUAUGUCUUAUGGAUUAUUAAACCUGAAGGAAGUAUACUUCCGGUCUCAUAAAACCCAAUGAAACCUAGACUCUGUUGGCUUUCCUUUUGGCAAUGAGUUUUGUUUGUGCUGCUUUGGUUUCAUGCAUUGCUGGAGCUAGAAGGGCUUCCACAAUUUCCUUCUGACCCAUUGAAAGAAGCUUUCAGAGUGGUCAGAUCAUACCAGAGAGUAAAUAAGAAGGAAGGGAUGGCCUCCUCCUCAGCCUAGACACAGGUCUCCCUGCAGAGCGGCAUGUUUAUGCUUGAGAUUCCUUCCUUCCAAAAAGGCUUGGGUUCCCAUCUGCCUAGUUUCAUGCCUACAAUUCAGUAAUAACCAAUACAAUAACAACGGACAAAACUCAUUGGUAAGCAGAUCGGGACUAUGUUUUAUUUUCCAGAUUGAUCAACAAAAUUCCCAAUUUUAAUUUUGCUUGAGAGAUUUAUUUUCUCUACACCAUUAUCUCAGACUUCUUGUUGAAUUUAACGAUAUGCACUACAGCUUGGUGCCCUUCACUGAACUUGUCAUGGUUCACCUGACAGUGUCUGAACAAUGUUGAGGCGUGGCCUACAUAUUUCUGUGAACAUUACAUUUUCUCUAUGUGGUUAAUAAAAAGAUUGAAAGGUAGACAUUUCUAUUAUUUGCAAUUAUUAUACUUUUAUUUCAGGAAAACAAGUGAAAAGCUGUUUAUUACCUUUGCGAUGACUUUUACUCUAUUUUCUAAUUAUUUUUAUUUCUUCUUUUUCGUUCUUUCAUCUGAGGGGGAGAUAAAUGGAGGUUUCUUUAUAAGUAAGCUAGAUGGUCCUGGUACUGUCAAUCUCCUGCCUCUGAUUGCAAGCUUGUACAAAUAUUUCUGGCUGCCUAUUCUGACUUCAACCACAACUCUUCUUCUUCUUUUUUUAAAAUUAAAAGUGACCAAGCAUACAUAUCUAAAAAUACCCAUAAGAGUAAAACGGGCAAAUUCAUUCUUCAUGAUGAUUGCCCAAAGUGGGCAAACCGUUCAUACAUUCUGUGAACCAUAGACCAUUACCGUAUAUUUGAUUGUUUUGAUAAAGUUCAUAAUGAGGCAAGAUAAAGGCUACUGCACAUUAUUUUCUUGAA
ensembl:lncRNA